GAGGCUUCGAAAGUGUUUGGGGGAC
rnacentral:piRNA from 1 species